GUUAUAGGGACAAGUGAAUAAGUGCACAUGGUGGAUGCCUUGGCGAUUACAGGCGAUGAAGGACGUAGUAGCUUGCGAUAAGCUGCGGGGAGUGAGCAAACACACUUUGAUCCGCAGAUUUCCGAAUGGGGAAACCCGGCCUUUUAGGUCAUUGCAUACUGAAUACAUAGGUAUGCAAAGCGAACGCGGCGAACUGAAACAUCUAAGUAGCUGCAGGAAAAGAAAUCAACCGAGAUUCCCAAAGUAGUGGCGAGCGAAAUGGGAUGAGCCUUGUACGUGAUAGUCGAUCGAAUAGUGGAACAGCCUGGAAAUGCUGGCCAUAGAGGGUGAUAGCCCCUUACACGAAAUUCGAACGGUGGUACUAAGCGUACGACAAGUAGGGCGGGACACGAGAAAUCCUGUCUGAAGAUGGGGGGACCAUCCUCCAAGGCUAAAUACUCGUAAUCGACCGAUAGUGAACCAGUACCGUGAGGGAAAGGCGAAAAGAACCCCGGGAGGGGAGUGAAAUAGAUCCUGAAACCGUGUGCAUACAAACAGUCGGAGCCUCUUCGUGGGGUGACGGCGUACCUUUUGUAUAAUGGGUCAGCGACUUACAUUCAGUGGCGAGGUUAACCGAAUAGGGGAGCCGUAGAGAAAUCGAGUCCGAACAGGGCGACAGUCGCUGGGUGUAGACCCGAAACCAGGUGAUCUACCCAUGGCCAGGAUGAAGGUGCGGUAACACGCCCUGGAGGUCCGAACCCACUAAUGUUGAAAAAUUAGGGGAUGAGCUGUGGGUAGGGGUGAAAGGCUAAACAAACCUGGAAAUAGCUGGUUCUCUCCGAAAACUAUUUAGGUAGUGCCUCAAGUAUCACCAUCGGGGGUAGAGCACUGUUAUGGCUAGGGGGUCAUUGCGACUUACCAAACCAUUGCAAACUCCGAAUACCGAUGAGUGCGAGCUUGGGAGACAGACGUCGGGUGCUAACGUCCGGCGUCAAGAGGGAAACAACCCAGACCGCCAGCUAAGGUCCCAAAGAUUGGCUAAGUGGAAAACGAAGUGGGAAGGCUAAAACAGUCAGGAUGUUGGCUUAGAAGCAGCCAUCAUUUAAAGAAAGCGUAAUAGCUCACUGAUCGAGUCGUCCUGCGCGGAAGAUGUAACGGGGCUAAGCCAGUCACCGAAGCUGCGGAUAUGU
rnacentral:rRNA from 1 species